GUCUCUUCGGAGACAUCUGAUAAAAUUGGAACGAUACAGAGAAGAUUAGCAUGGCCCCUGCGCAAGGAUGACACGCACUAAUCGAGAAAUGGUCUGAAUUUUU
rfam:Physcomitrella patens subsp. patens PHYPAscaffold_381 genomic scaffold, whole genome shotgun sequence.